rnacentral:rRNA from 1 species
GAUGAACGCUGGCGGCGUGCCUAAUACAUGCAAGUCGAACGCUGAAGCUUGGUGCUUGCCCCGAGCGGAUGAGUUGCGAACGGGUGAGUAACGCGUAGGUAACCUGCCUCUUAGCGGGGGAUAACUAUUGGAAACGAUAGCUAAUACCGCAUAAAAGUCGAUAUCGCAUGAUAUUGAUUUGAAAGGUGCAAAUGCAUCACUAAGAGAUGGACCUGCGUUGUAUUAGCUAGUUGGUGAGGUAACGGCUCACCAAGGCGACGAUACAUAGCCGACCUGAGAGGGUGAUCGGCCACACUGGGACUGAGACACGGCCCAGACUCCUACGGGAGGCAGCAGUAGGGAAUCUUCGGCAAUGGGGGCAACCCUGACCGAGCAACGCCGCGUGAGUGAAGAAGGGUGUCGGAUCGUAAAGCUCUGUUGUAAGAGAAGAACGAGUGUGAGAGUGGAAAGUUCACACUGUGACGGUAACUUACCAGAAAGGGACGGCUAACAACGUG